GCAUUUUAUUUUGUCUUCUUGUGUUUUCAAAGCUCAGUUUAUGGUUUACAAUCCGCUUUUCUCAUUUGAUUCAUUCAGCUUCUAGGAUGGAACCCAGAUUCAGAGGACUGGCUAAUGGCACUCUGAAUUUGUCAGACUCCGCUGAAGCGUAUCCCUUAAGAAGGGCAAACAAAGGAAAACCAUGGAUGAAGCCCUUGUCUCCGGAAGCAGUACUGGAAAAGGCAACAAAGAACCUGCUGGAUCAUCAGGGAGAUCUUUCCAAGAAAGCAUCUUCUUGGCUUCUUUGAGAUCCAGUUUGGUAUUUUCCAGGGCCAGACAUUCAAAUGGCUGCUGGAAAAUGCUUUAGGUUAUGCUGCCUACCUUGUUGCUGCUAUGAAGAAAGAUCCAACAGGGGGUAGUAAAGACACCAAGGAUCAUGCCAGCAACAAAGAAAGCUUUAGAGAAUACAUGGAAAUGUUUCCAUCUGCCAAAACUGCAGUGGCGAUGAAAGAGGAGCAGAUGUCUCGAGAGAAGACACCACCCAGUUUGUCCAGCCAGCCAGGACCAUCGACGGCAUCCUCAUCUUCUCAGUUUCCAUCAACGUCAAAUCCUUCUGCUGCAAAACCUCCCAGUUCACCACCACAUCCCAAAACUCCUCAGCCCAUCUCCACCUCGUCUCUCUCUUCACUAUUGCUUUGAUACAUGCACGGCUGCAUUCCACAUUCACAACUUUAAACCAGCCAGCUGGAUCCCUUUCUUCCUCAUCUGCGCCUGCAGGAUCCCCCUUCACCCUCCAAGCCUCCUCCUCCUCCCAGUAGCAGGACCCUCUUCCCCACACCCAACUGGGAAACCUCCAUCAAUCCUCCACAGACACCACCAGCCUUUGGCCCUAAAGCCAGUGAGCAGUUCUCCACCCCUGCAGAUCCAAAAACUCUGUCUUUUCCACCCGUGUCGAGUGAGGUUGACAGAUGGGAUAAAUCUCACUCAGCAACACGAAGAGUGUGUCUUCCAGCCGGCUGGCUUCAUACACUCCCAGAGGUGGACCAGAGAUGGAUGUCCAAAGCUCUCUUCAAACAGACAGCGCAAGGACAUCCUGAACUGGACUUCAGCAGGGUGGACAGACUGUGGUGGCUUCCUCCUCAAGUCCCCUUGCAUGUAACCAAUGUCCCUCAGUAGGAAGACAAUUUUGGGAGUCCCCUCUUUCUUUGGAUGCCCCGAAAACUCUGGCAAGUCAAGCUGACAUGUCCUCAUUCAGAUUGCCACAAAGGGUUCUGACCUCAUCUGGUGUGCAUCAGAAGAUCAGACAAGUAAUUUCUGUGGAGAUAACUUACUUUGUGGCAUCUGAGUGUUUAGUUUGCAAACAAUGCAAAAAGGUCAUCAGCUGGAGCCAUGGCAUCGUCUCCCAGCUGGAUGUGGGUCACAGGAUGCAGUUUCCAUGCAUCCUCACAUCCAAGCUUGCCUGUGACCUGCGGGUGGUCACUUUGAUGCGCCAGAGAGGUUUAGGAAACAGCAGCAGCCAGAUUAGGAGGAAGUUGCAGGAGAGUCAUUCUGAAGACUGGCUGAAGAAGACUGUCCAGUAACUGACAGACUGCAAACAUGUCAAAGGGGCUGUUAAAAAGGGUCUGUUCUCCAGAGGCUGACUGAGAUCAAGGCCUCAGUAACAUCAACUUAUGGACGCAUCUUGAAGCUGGACUCCACCAAGAAAGUGGCUCGGAAACUGGCUGGAAAAGGCUUUGGAACAGCGACUUGGGCAACAAAUGUUGGCAAUGAGCAGCGCCAAAUAAUCACGUCUGUGCUCACUGCUAGCGAGGGUUUUGGCCUGGGGCCAAUGAUCGAAGGACUAAUAGGGGGAUGUGCAGUGGCUGGGGUACCUCCCCCUGAAGUGCUUUACGUUGACAGAGACUGCUGCGGAAACACGCUUCUUCGACGAAUGUUCCAGAAGUGGAAAGACCUUAAGAUCCGCCUGGACAUAUGGCACUUUAUGAGAAGGUUUUUGGUGGGCUGCACCACUGAUUCACACCAGCUCUAUGCUUCCUUCAUGAGGCGCCUCAGCCAGUGUCUCUUUAUGUGGGAUGAGGAAGAUCUGACAGCCCUCAAGAUAGCCAAACGCUCAGAACUGUCUGCCAGGCUCACAAAUCUGUCAGAAGCUGAUGUGCUGAGGUCCAUUAGCCGCAGUGAGUUAGCCCUGCACUGCAGGAGAACGACACGUGGCUCUCAGGAGACUCUGGCUCUCAUCAAAAGCCUCAUCCAAGCUUUUGAUGGGGACAAUGGUCACGACACUCUGGGGUCCCACUGAUCAACUCUGCAUGCAUGGGUGACAUUUUAGCUUCCCAGGCAAAACUUGUGGUCUGCAUCCAGGACCCCCCAAGCAUCCAGCUCUAAACCAGGACGGGAACAAUCCUGAAAGGAGGACAUCGUUUGCCCACAUACCGCUGUGCCAGAGGUUCAACAUCCUUUGAAUCUUUUCAUCUUCACCUGAAUAGGUACAUCCCUGGCACCCUGGCAAGUGAUAUCUUCUUCCAGUUCUACCUGUUAGAUGGGCUGGCCAGGGGGAAUGAAGACCGCGCUGAAGCAGCCACAACCGACAAGCAGCAGCCAUGCUCCCAUAACCAUCUCCUGCGUCAUGCUGCUAACAGUUUGUCUGAGGAGGUCCUUGGCCAGGAAAUUGUUCCCUACAGGUGAACUUCUGGGGUUAGAGUAACUUUACAAGCAAACUGGUAAAGUUCUCCAAGAUUACAGACAGGCUGUUGAAGAGUCGGAGACAACUGACAUGGAGAUUGAAGACCGCUUCAACGAACCUGAAGAGUUUGAAGACUUCACUGUACCCACUUUGGAGCCAGUGAGGACCUUCCCAGUCUCUUUAAAGUCAUCCUAGGCACCCACCAGCAGUCUGUCAGCUCCAGACCCUCAGCUUGGCCCCUCUUGGUCUCCUCCUCCUCCUCCUCCUCCUGAGGGUCCUUUAACAACUGCAACACUCGGCGCCUGGACCUACAUCACUAUCUCUCACUUCUUCACCUCUUCUUCACCCUUGUGUCUUAUCCCCCGCUGAACAGAGCAGUGAGUUUAGCCUCCAAAACAGAUCUGCCAGCAACCCCUCAACAGUUGGACUCUUCAUGUGACGAUUCUGUCGGCCCUGACAACGUGGAGGGUUAUGGUUAUGGGGCCGUGCAGGAGCUGGCUAAUGUCUUGGUCGCCCUCCGGCACAAUAAUCUUGUGGUUACUGAAGAAGAGUCAAACCGGAUCAUUUCCCUGUGGGAGUUAUUGGGGGAUUAUGAUAAACAAAAAACGGUUUACUCCCAACAUCACAAAGCCCACCUGAAGCAGGGUAGAUUUAGGGCUACCAAGCAAAUUGUAGCCCCUGGUGUCAAAAGCA